rnacentral:tRNA from 1 species
GGGUGAUUAGCUCAGACGGUUAGAGCAGCAGCCUUAUAAGCUGUACGUCGCAGGUUCGAGUCCUGCAUCACCCA